UUGCAGCAUCUUUGCGUCGGAAUGCUUUGAGAAUAAGUGUCAAUGCAUUCCUGAUUGGGCGCCACUUACUGAUACGUCGUGUGCAAAACGUUCUGCGUUGGUUAAUUGUAAAGAUACACUUGAAUGUGGCGAGCAUUGGCAUUCAAACUGUUUCCAGAACAGAUGUGUCUGCAACGUGAAGCAUAUUGCUGUCAGUGAACGGACUUGCUUGCCGACUCUGGGCGGAAAUUGCUGGCGAGAUGAUCAAUGCAUGACGGAUAACACACACUGCAUUGACUUUAGGUGUCAAUGCAAGCCCGGUUUCGUUUCUGUAGCUAUAAAUAUGUGUGUUGCAAGAUGAAAAAAAUGAUAUUUGUUGGUUUUGGCUGUAAAUUAAUUUAAUAAAAAUUGUGAAACUUAAAA